GCGGGCGGCAGGCGCCGCGAAAUGGCGGCGGCGGUUGGGUGUCCUUGCUGCUCCCUCGCCCCACCAUGGCGGGCAGCCUUGGCACAGAGAAACGCUUCAGGCCUGUGGAAAAGAGAUGUAGCCCUCCCCGCGCGGCCAGGUGGCCGUUAGCAAAGUGGUAAUGUCCUCAGAGUUAGGGCAUGGGGAGUCCGGAUCUAAAUGCGGCCAGCGUGUCACAGGAGGCGAUUGUGCCGCUCUGCGCCUCUCUGGUGGAAGCUUGUGCCCUGAUAAUAAACAGCUUGCUGAAGGCCACAUGAGGAGUCUCUUCAGGCCUCUGAUUAGGGAACAAACAGUCCUGGGUCCAUCCUCUCCUCACAGAAAGAAGCAGAACAAAGCAGGAACUCCAAGGAAGUCUGAUCUUGCAGUGCUGGGUGUGAUUGCAGAGAGGUUGCUUAAAAACAGCCUGGCUGCUGUUCUGGUACCCACUGUCAGAGCAUGGCCUCUCAAGGAAGCAACCACACUGCAUGUUGAAACUACAGCUCUGUACCCAUGGUAGCUAAACCCAGUGGGGUCAGCCUGUGUUGCUUCCUGGAGUCAGGAAGCAGAAGCCUCCAGGAUGUUCUGGGCAACAAUAUGAUUGUUUUGGGAUUGAAUCUUCUCUGUCUCACGGAGAUCUACUAUGUGUCUGUAUACUUCAAAGCAAGUGAUGAACAGUAGUGCUACAGGCAUGUUCAUCACCAGUGCUGCACAUUUUUUACGACGUGUCCAUUGAUCAAUCACUGAUGAGUUUCUGUGCCAAAGUAGUGGCAGAAGAUGCUUCCUACUCAGAAACAUGAAACAGUCUUGGAGUACAAAGGCCACUGGCCCUCCAGAUAUGGAGCUUGCAGAUAGAGGGAAGUCACAAGGACACUGUUAGGGUGUGGGAGUACCUAUCUCUGCACUUUCCCACUGUUUUCUUCUGGCAUGGCAGCAUUAUUAGGACUAAGGAUGCCUUUGUGGUUUAUAUUAAUCCACUUUGGGACAUAAGCUGAAAUAAGCGUCUUGGUGGGAAACCAAUCCAUCAGUGCAGGUGCCAGACCCCAGCAUGCCUUUCCUGCUCCAUCAGUGCAAGCCUGGAGCUGAGGAGCUCUCUCGGUGGGACCCUACAGAUUUUUCUAUUUAAAGCAACAGGAUUUAAGUCCUGUUCAUUUAAAUAUCAGGUUUAACUGGGGCCUGCCUGCAUAUCAAAGGCAGUAUGGUAAUUUUUACAAGGGAAAGGUGUUGGCCAGGGUUUUCCCUUCUCUCCUUGUUGCGCAAUGUGGUGCUGAGUCACUGCCAUUUCUCACCCAGUUAAGUGCCUGCAUUCUCUGGGUGCUGUGUUUGUAUAGGAUGGGGUCCUGUAACGCAUGCAGUAACUGUGGCAGCCUUUGCACAAACAAGAGCUAAAAAUGAACAAAGACCCUUCCUGGUUCGCUGGUGUUUAUUUAUGCACUGCCGUGUGUGGCAAGUUUCACUCUGGCACCUAGACUGCAUGGUGGGCUGGGCUUGAACUUGCUUUUCUCAAGUCAGUCUAAUUCCUAUUGAUGUACUGGUUAUCUCAUGGGCCUUCAGUCUCGCCCUGAUCUGCAAAAGAUUUAACACAAUACCAUGGCUUUUAUUAUUUGCUGGAAAAUGUUAAUAAAACUCAAGUAUUACAGAUGCA